UACAGAGGGGGCAAGCGUUGUUCGGAAUUACUGGGCGUAAAGGGCGCGUAGGCGGCCGCCUAAGUCAGACGUGAAAUCCCUCGGCUCAACCGGGGAACUGCGUCUGAUACUGGGUGGCUUGAAUCCGGGAGAGGGAUGCGGAAUUCCAGGUGUAGCGGUGAAAUGCGUAGAUAUCGGGAGGAACACCAGUGGCGAAGGCGACUUCCUGGCCUGUUCUUGACGCUGAGGCGCGAAAGCUAGGGUAGCAAACGGG
rnacentral:rRNA from 1 species